UACGUAGGGACCGAGCGUUGUCCGGAAUCAUUGGGCGUAAAGAGCUCGUAGGCGGUUUGUUGCGUCGGCUGUGAAAUCCCGAGGCUCAACCUCGGGUCUGCAGUCGAUACGAGCAAACUAGAGUGUUGCAGGGGAGACUGGAAUUCCUGGUGUAGCGGUGAAAUGCGCAGAUAUCAGGAGGAACACCGGUGGCGAAGGCGGGUCUCUGGGCAACAACUGACGCUGAGGAGCGAAAGCGUGGGGAGCGAACAGG
rnacentral:rRNA from 1 species